rnacentral:rRNA from 1 species
ACGCUGGCGGCAGGCCUAACACAUGCAAGUCGAACGGUAGAGAGAAGCUUGCUUCUCUUGAGAGCGGCGGACGGGUGAGUAAUGCCUAGGAAUCUGCCUGGUAGUGGGGGGUAACGUUCGGAAACGGACGCUAAUACCGCAUACGUCCUACGGGAGAAAGCAGGGGACCUUCGGGCCUUGCGCUAUCAGAUGAGCCUAGGUCGGAUUAGCUAGUUGGUGGGGUAAUGGCUCACCAAGGCGACGAUCCGUAACUGGUCUGAGAGGAUGAUCAGUCACACUGGAAACUGAGACACGGUCCAGACUCCUACGGGAGGCAGCAGUGGGGAAUAUUGGACAAUGGGCGAAAGCCUGAUCCAGCCAUGCCGCGUGUGUGAAGAAGGUCUUCGGAUUGUAAAGCACUUUAAGUUGGGAGGAAGGGUUGUAGAUUAAUACUCUGCAAUUUUGACGUUACCGACAGAAUAAGCACCGGCUAACUCUGUGCCAGCAGCCGCGGUAAUACAGAGGGUGCAAGCGUUAAUCGGAAUUACUGGGCGUAAAGCGCGCGUAGGUGGUUAGUUAAGUUGGAUGUGAAAUCCCCGGGCUCAACCUGGGAACUGCAUUCAAAACUGACUGACUAGAGUAUGGUAGAGGGUGGUGGAAUUUCCUGUGUAGCGGUGAAAUGCGUAGAUAUAGGAAGGAACACCAGUGGCGAAGGCGACCACCUGGACUGAUACUGACACUGAGGUGCGAAAGCGUGGGGAGCAAAC